rnacentral:rRNA from 1 species
AAUAUUUGACAAUGGGGGCAACCCUGAUCCAGCCAUGCCGCGUGUGUGAAGAAGGUCUUCGGAUUGUAAAGCACUUUAAGUUGGGAGGAAGGGCUUUAGGCUAAUACCCUGAAGUUUUGACGUUACCAACAGAAUAAGCACCGGCUAACUCUGUGCCAGCGGCCGCGUGAAUACAGAGGGUGCAAGCGUUAAUCGGAAUUACUGUGCGUAAAGGGAGCGUAGGUGGGUCAGUAAGAUGGGUGUGAAAACCACGGGCUUAACCUGGGAAGUGCUUUCAUAACUGCUGGGCUAGAGUACGGUAGAGGGUAGUGGAAUUUCCUGUGUAGCGGUGAAAUGCGUAGAUAUAGGAAGGAACAACAGUGGCGAAGGCGACUACCUGGACUGAUACUGACACUGAGGUGCGAAAGCGUGGGGAGCAAAC